rnacentral:rRNA from 1 species
GGGAGGGGUGCAAGCGUUGUUCGGAAUUAUUGGGCGUAAAGAGCGUGUAGGCGGUCCGGUAAGUCAGAUGUGAAAGCCCUGGGCUCAACCCAGGAAGUGCAUUUGAAACUACCAGACUUGAGUACGGGAGAGGAGGGGGGAAUUCCCGGUGUAGAGGUGAAAUUCGUAGAUAUCGGGAGGAAUACCAGUGGCGAAGGCGCCCCUCUGGACCGAUACUGACGCUGAGACGCGAAAGCGUGGGGAGCAAACAGGAUUAGAUACCCUGGUAGUCCACGCCGUAAACGAUGAGCACUAGGUGUAGCGGGUAUUGACCCCUGCUGUGCCGUAGCUAACGCAUUAAGUGCUCCGCCUGGGGACUACGGUCGCAAAGACUA